rnacentral:rRNA from 1 species
AUUGAACGCUGGCGGCAUGCCUUACACAUGCAAGUCGAACGGCAGCACGGGAGCAAUCCUGGUGGCGAGUGGCGAACGGGUGAGUAAUAUAUCGGAACGUGCCCAGUCGUGGGGGAUAACGCAGCGAAAGCUGUGCUAGUACCGCAUACGAUCAAUGGAUGAAAGCGGGGGAUCGCAAGACCUCGCGCGAUUGGAUCGGCCGAUAUCAGAUUAGCUAGUUGGUGGGGUAAAGGCCCACCAAGGCGACGAUCUGUAGCUGGUCUGAGAGGACGACCAGCCACACUGGAACUGAGACACGGUCCAGACUCCUACGGGAGGCAGCAGUGGGGAAUUUUGGACAAUGGGCGCAAGCCUGAUCCAGCAAUGCCGCGUGCAGGAUGAAGGCCUUCGGGUUGUAAACUGCUUUUGUACGGAACGAAACGGUUCUUUCUAAUAAAGAGGGCUAAUGACGGUACCGUAAGAAUAAGCACCGGCUAACUACGUGCCAGCCGCCGCGGUAAUAC